rnacentral:rRNA from 1 species
ACGCUGGCGGCAUGCCUUACACAUGCAAGUCGAACGGCAGCACGGGAGCAAUCCUGGUGGCGAGUGGCGAACGGGUGAGUAAUAUAUCGGAACGUGCCCAGKCGUGGGGGAUAACGUAGCGAAAGCUACGCUAAUACCGCACACKAUCUACGGAUGAAAGCGGGGGACUCGCAAGAGCCUCGCGCGAUUGGAGCGGCCGAUAUCANAUUAGGUUGUUGGUGAGGUAAAAGCUCACCAAGCCUGCGAUCUGUAGCUGGUCUGAGAGGACGACCAGCCACACUGGAACUGAGACACGGUCCAGACUCCUACGGGAGGCAGCAGUGGGGAAUUUUGGACAAUGGACGAAAGUCUGAUCCAGCAAUGCCGCGUGCAGGACGAAGGCCUUCGGGUUGUAAACUGCUUUUGUACGGAACGAAACGGUCUUCUUUAAUACAGAGGGCUAAUGACGGUACCGUAAGAAUAAGCACCGGCUAACUACGUGCCAGCAGCCGUGGUAAUACGUAGGGUGCGAGCGUUAAUCGGAAUUACUGGGCCGUAAAGCGUGCGCAGGCGGUUAUAUAAGACAGAUGUGAAAUCCCCGGGCUCAACCUGGGACCUGCAUUUGUGACUGUAUAGCUAGAGUACGGUAGAGGGGGAUGGAAUUCCGCGUGUAGCAGUGAAAUGCGUAGAUAUGCGGAGGAACACCGAU